rnacentral:rRNA from 1 species
AUUAGAGUUUGAUCAUGGCUCAGGACGAACGCUGGCGGCGUGCUUAACACAUGCAAGUCGAACGAUGAAGCCCAGCUUGCUGGGUGGAAGAGUGGCGAACGGGUGAGUAACACGUGAGUAACCUGCCCUUCACUCUGGGAUAAGCGCUGGAAACGGCGUCUAAUACUGGAUACGACCCUUACAGGCAUCUGUUGGGGGUGGAAAGAUUUAUCGGUGAAGGAUGGGCUCGCGGCCUAUCAGGUAGUUGGUGAGGUAACGGCUCACCAAGCCGACGACGGGUAGCCGGCCUGAGAGGGUGACCGGCCACACUGGGACUGAGACACGGCCCAGACUCCUACGGGAGGCAGCAGUGGGGAAUAUUGCACAAUGGGCGAAAGCCUGAUGCAGCAACGCCGCGUGAGGGAUGACGGCCUUCGGGUUGUAAACCUCUUUUAGUAGGGAAGAAGCGAAAGUGACGGUACCUGCAGAAAACGCACCGGCUAACUACGUGCCAGCAGCCGCGGUAAUAAU